rnacentral:lncRNA from 1 species
CUGCUUUCAGGUGAUCCACCCGCCUAGCCUACCCAAAGUGCUAGGAUUGCAAGUGUGAGCCACCACAUCUGGCCUGACGUUCUCUUCUUGUUGCAUCAAGCCAUCAUCCACCGGGCGCCCCUAGACAGCAGUCUCUGUGGAAACUGCUGAGCCACAUGGUCAAGCACCACAGCCAGCCAAGACGCUGCAAACCAAGCUGGAGGUUUCGGGGGUUUCCAGUCUUUUUUUUUUUUUUUUUUAAGUAUCAAACACCAUAAAAUUCCCAUCACUGUUCUGGAGACACAGACGUAAAUGGAAAAUGGAUUCCUGUUAGUCUGGUGCAUCUGAAAGUUCUGUGAACACUAGCCUGCCACAUUCAGUGGAUCUGGAGGCAACUAUCGCCCUCCUAUAAAUACCAAGGGUGCCACUGGCCUGCUCCUUACACCAGACAGUAAACAGUCACCAAGAGCCUGAUUGAAGCUUUGGGACAAAACAAUGAAACCAAAAGAUGGAUUUGCUGAGUAGCGGAGACCGUAAACUGCUACUCUCAGUUUAUUUAUUUAUUUAUUUUUAAUUUUUUUUUUUUUUUGAGAUGGAGUCUCACUCUGCC